rnacentral:rRNA from 1 species
ACGGGCGGAGUGUACAAGGCCCGGGAACGUAUUCACCGUGGCAUUCUGAUCCACGAUUACUAGCGAUUCCGACUUCAUGGAGUCGAGUUGCAGACUCCAAUCCGGACUACGACGCACUUUAUGAGGUCCGCUUGCUCUCGCGAGGUCGCUUCUCUUUGUAUGCGCCAUUGUAGCACGUGUGUAGCCCUGGUCGUAAGGGCCAUGAUGACUUGACGUCAUCCCCACCUUCCUCCAGUUUAUCACUGGCAGUCUCCUUUGAGUUCCCGGGCGGACCCGCUGGCAAAAAAAGGAUAAAGGGGUUGCGCUCGUUUGCGGGGACU